rnacentral:rRNA from 1 species
UCCGUAGGUGAACCUGCGGAGGGAUCAUUACACAAAUAUGAAGGCGGGCUGGAACCUCUCGGGGUUACAGCCUUGCUGAAUUAUUCACCCUUGUCUUUUGCGUACUUCUUGUUUCCUUGGUGGGUUCGCCCACCACUAGGACAAACAUAAACCUUUUGUAAUUGCAAUCAGCGUCAGUAACAAAUUAAUAAUUACAACUUUCAACAACGGAUCUCUUGGUUCUGGCAUCGAUGAAGAACGCAGCGAAAUGCGAUAAGUAGUGUGAAUUGCAGAAUUCAGUGAAUCAUCGAAUCUUUGAACGCACAUUGCGCCCUUUGGUAUCCCAAAGGGCAUGCCUGUUCGAGCGUCAUUUGUACCCUCAAGCUUUGCUUGGUGUUGGGCGUCUUGUCUCUAGCUUUGCUGGAGACUCGCCUUAAAGUAAUUGGCAGCCGGCCUACUGGUUUCGGAGCGCAGCACAAGUCGCACUCUCUAUCAGCAAAGGUCUAGCAUCCAUUAAGCCUUUUUUUCAACUUUUGACCUCGGAUCAGGUAGGGAUACCCGCUGAACUUAAGCAUAUCAAUAAGCGGAGGA